UACGUAGGGUGCGAGCGUUAAUCGGAAUUACUGGGCGUAAAGGGUGCGCAGGCGGUUUUGUAAGCCAGAUGUGAAAUCCCCGGGCUCAACCUGGGAAUGGCAUUUGGGACUGCAAGGCUAGAGUGUGGCAGAGGAGACUGGAAUUCCCGGUGUAGCAGUGAAAUGCGUAGAUAUCGGGAGGAAUACCGAUGGCGAAGGCAGGUCUCUGGGCUGACACUGACGCUCAUGCACGAAAGCGUGGGGAGCAAACAGG
rnacentral:rRNA from 1 species